GAAUUUUGGACAAUGGGCGAAAGCCUGAUCCAGCAAUGCCGCGUGCAGGAUGACUGCCUUCGGGUUGUAAACUGCUUGUGUCAGGAACGAAAAGCUUUGGGUUCAUACCCUGGAGUCAUAACGGUACCGUAAGAAUAAGCACCGCCACACUCCGUGCCAGCAGCCGCGGUAAUACGUAGGUUGCAAGCGUUAAUCGGAAUUACUGGGCGUAAAGCGUGCUCAGGCGGUUUUGUAAGACAGAGGUGAAAUCCCCGGGCUCAACCUGGGAACUGCCUUUGUGACUGCAAGGCUAGAGUACGGCAGAGGGGGGUGGAAUUCCGCGUGUAGCAGUGAAAUGCGUAGAUAUGCGGAGGAACACCGAUGGCGAAGGCAACCCCCUGGGCCUGUACUGACGCUCAUGCACGAAAGCGUGGGGAGCAAACA
rnacentral:rRNA from 1 species